AGUACAACAACAACAAACCCAGUGUAUUCCCACUUAGUGGGGUCUGGGGGGGGUAAGAUGUACGCAGUCCAUACCUCUACCUCUGAUGAAGUAGAAAGGCUGUUUCCGAAAGACCCCCGGCUCAAGUCACGAGAUAUCACACAAACACAUAGUACAGCACAGCAGCAGAUGACAUAACAUAAAUACGGCACCCAUAGGGAAUAUAAAACAGAGUAAAGCAGGAAUGCAGGAAUAUAAAGCAGAGGAAAGCACACAGAUUCGUAAUAAACAUGGAACACGGAACACGNNNN
rnacentral:lncRNA from 1 species